rnacentral:rRNA from 1 species
CGCAGGGAAACCGAGUCUUAACCGGGCGUUAAGUUGCAGGGUAUAGACCCGAAACCCGGUGAUCUAGUCAUGGGCAGGUUGAAGGUUGGGUAACACUAACUGGAGGACCGAACCGACUAAUGUUGAAAAAUUAGCGGAUGACCUGUGGCUGGGGGUGAAAGGCCAAUCAAACCGGGAGAUAGCUGGUUCUCCCCGAAAGCUAUUUAGGUAGCGCCUCGUGAAUUCAUCUCCGGGGGUAGAGCACUGUUUCGGCUAGGGGGCCAUCCCGGCUUACCAACCCGAUGCAAACUGCGAAUACCGGAGAAUGUUAUCACGGGAGACACACGGCGGGUGCUAACGUCCGUCGUGAAGAGGGAAACAACCCAGACCGCCAGCUAAGGUCCCAAAGUCAUGGUUAAGUGGGAAACGAUGUGGGAAGGCCCAGACAGCCAGGAUGUUGGCUUAGAAGCAGCCAUCAUUUAAAGAAAGCGUAAUAGCUCACUGGUCGAGUCGGCCUGCGCGGAAGAUGUAACGGGGCUAAACCAUGCACCGAAGCUGCGGCAGCGACACUCAGGUGUUGUUGGGUAGGGGAGCGUUCUGUAAGCCUGCGAAGGUGGCCUGUGAGGGUUGCUGGAGGUAUCAGAAGUGCGAAUGCUGACAUAAGUAACGAUAAAGCGGGUGAAAAGCCCGCUCGCCGGAAGACCAAGGGUUCCUGUCCAACGUUAAUCGGGGCAGGGUGAGUCGACCCCUAAGGCGAGGCCGAAAGGCGUAGUCGAUGGGAAACGGGUUAAUAUUCCCGUACUUGGUGUUACUGCGAAGGGGGGACGGAGAAGGCUAUGUUGGCCGGGCGACGGUUGUCCCGGUUUAAGCGUGUAGGUGUGUGUUCCAGGUAAAUCCGGUU